AGUAAGGAAAGUAGCUAUCCGCGGUCGUAAAAGUCGCUAACUGACGUCAUCGCCUAAUUUGCAUAAUUGCCCAUGUGCAUGUAAUUGUGAUGGACGCUGUAGGAGAGAGACAAAAAAGUAAGUCAGUGCUGCUAAAAACCUUCAAGGAGAAGACAGUGAGGAAUGGCUUUGCUGUCGUUUAGGGGAGGAAGCCUCUAAAACUCUCAAUGGCUUCCUAUCCAUCAAAAGGUGGAUGUUGGGAGUGAGAUGUGAUUGGUGGGAUGGCUGGACAAGAGGAACCAUUUCGCUGACAGCUGAACAGAGAAACAACAGUUUAUUAAAGGACUGUCAGUUUGUCUCCUCUAUCUAAUACAACAAACCCUUUUGCGAGUGACCAGGCUUUGGACAGUUAGCACGUUGGCUUGACGUUUUUCCACUUGCUGUUGUCACGUAUACUCCCUCUCCGGCCUCUAGGUCAUCAGGCUGCUGAUUAUCCCGCACACCUGUCAUCAUCGUCUCACGCACCUGCGACACUCACCUGGACUCCAUCACCUCCUUGAUUAUCUUCCCUAUAUCUGUCACUCUCCUUGGUACUUUCCUCAGAUGUUAUUGAUUGUUUUCAUUUCGGUGCAUUGUUUGUGUUUCGUGUUCAUUGUUUAUUUUAUUUAUU